rnacentral:tRNA from 1 species
GGAGAGGUGGCAGAGCGGUUUAAUGCGGCGGUCUUGAAAACCGUUGAACCUUCACGGGUUCCGCGAGUUCGAAUCUCGCCCUCUCCGCCA